CGCCCGUUUAGCUUCUCGCCACUUUCCCAUCCCAAACGAUGACAUAUUCUCCCAGCUCUGGUUUGUGAAAAGACUAAAGUGAUCUGGGGGGUUGGGGUUGGGGUUGACCCACCCAACAGAGACCUAGUGAUGCUGCUCACUGCUAAAGGAGACGUUCAGGGAAUCAGAUGACCUACAUUUACCUGUGGAGUUGAAGGCGUCUGACUGAAGCAGAUCUGGAUCCUGCUGGUCCUGUUUCACCAGGACCAGCAGAAAACAGGAUUAAAGUCAACCAACUAUUUAUUACCAGAAGGAGGUGAUGACCCACCGAUGGUGUUUCUAGUGUGGAUAACGGAGACCUUUAGGAAAAUCACUGGGUGGGCAAAGUUUCUCUCUCACAUCAGUGGAGUUUGGGGCCAAUGAGGCAACUGGUAGAAACAUGUUGGUCCCCAUCGAACAGGAGAGAUCUGGAUGUUCGCGUGUUAACCAGGAGGAAACUGAACUCAAGCCGUGUUUCCAUGGAGACGCAGCAACAGCUGGAAGGUUGCUAUGUUUAGCGUGAAGCUAGCGCGUCCAGACGACGGCUGAAGGACGACCUCUGCUGACCCCUGCUGGCCAGUCGCUGCAUCAUCCUGAUGCUCCGCAGACAGAACUUUAGUCUGUCCAGACAAAGCCGGUGUUUCCUGACAGCGACUCCGUCCCAGAGCUUUGGGACCAACGUGAGCGAACAGACAGUCGUGUUGGGGAGCGAGUCUGACGAAAGUGACGCUGAGUCUGCAUUCACAGCCGAAACUAAAUCACCAUUUACUUCCUGCUUAUGGUUCUGUUUUCUAGGUUUUAGGCCGAAACUGCUUGUUUUCCCUGAACAAAAGUCUCAAGUUUCUUCAUCUGCAGAAUAUUUCCACUGACCACAAAAUCACUUCAGUUUAACAUCCCAGCACUGAACCCCGCUGGCCAUCUCCACCAUGAAAACAUGGAAGCUGUGAUUCACCGUAUCAUAAAAUGUACAUCUGUCAUUUUGGUGCAACAUUUGUACAAAAUGCUUAAUAAUUUUAAAUUAAGCUUACAGAGAAAAGCUGAAUGUUUGUGAAUCUUUGGGUGUUAAAGGGUUAAACUGAACGGACCCCAGAAACCGCAGCAACUAAUAAAAAUGUUCCACCGACGAAAAUAAAACGUGUUUAUGGUAAAACGAGAUCGGAGCCGAUUCCUGGCUCUCAUGUUUCAGCUGCUCUGCCUCGUAUUUCAGAUUCAAAUAAAAAACUGCUGAACAUUUGA